rnacentral:lncRNA from 1 species
AUUACAUAAGAUAGAAUGCACAUGUUUCUGCAAAUAGCGUCAUCUCUCCCAAAGGAUGACAGGCCUCCUAAUCAGGUUUAGAGGUCAGGAAGGAGACAAAGAAAAAGGGAAAACUUACGCCAAGUCCUGUUUUGUUUCUAUCCAAGACUCUUGACUUUAAAGAGCUCCAAGGACUGGGGAGAAGCGAAGGGGUAUCUAUUAAUAGGAGUCAUGAAGUCAAAAGGCAUCCGACUGAACCUCCUUCUUCUGUCCUGCUCAGAACAAUGAGAAAAAGCCAAGGUCAAAAGCAAGGCCAGGUUGGAAGGAUUAUUAGAAAAGUCAUGAGG